rnacentral:rRNA from 1 species
GAUGAACGCUGGCGGCGUGCCUAAUACAUGCAAGUCGAACGGGAGACUCAUUUCGGUGAGUUGAGAGUGGCGGACGGGUGAGGAACACAUGGCUGACCUGCCCUUCAGCGGGGAACAACGGGUGGAAACGCCCGCUAAUACCCCAUACGUUCGUCGGGGUUAGAAGCCGACGAGGAAAGCCUUCGGGCACUGAAGGAGGGGGCUGUGGCCCAUCAGGUAGUUGGUGAGGUAAUGGCUCACCAAGCCGACGACGGGUAGGGGGCCUGAGAGGGUGACCCCCCACACUGGAACUGAGAAACGGUCCAGACUCCUACGGGUGGCAG